UCCGAAUUAGUUUAGUGGCUAUGACGGCGCCUUGUCAGUGUUUCCGCGCAGAAAAACGGCGCAGACCCGGGUUCAAUUCCCGGAUUCGGAG